UGUGGUGUCGAAUAGAUAUACCAUAUAGAAUGGCGGAUGAUUUCCUCCAACUUAUUUUAUCACAUAAGAAAUUUAACGUAAAGUAAAAAGUUACCACCAGGGAUUGUCUGGAGUGAGGAGACAUGUGGGUGACAACUCCUGUUGGAGUAUAAAUAGGAAUCAUUCGCCAUUUGGGAGAAACCCUACCAUGAAGUCAUAGACCUUAUUUGACCACCUAGAGAAACCACUACAGCCACAGUCAAGUCAUCAUGGGAGUAUGUCUAAUUGGGAGCAAGCUAUGGGAGCGUUCCAGCUCAGUUUUCGUCUCGGCACCUGGGCCUACAGGAGUCAUGGGUCGCACCAUCCUGGUGCAUCAUUUUCUAGGAUGCAACCGCAACCUUUUUAGGAAUCAUUGGGAUUCGUUUGGAAACAAUUAGUGUGUUUUAGUAACUAUUGGUUUUUUUUUACAUUUCAGACUCUCGGUUUAAUGCGCUAUGUUAAUUAAUUUUUUUUCCAGAUUUAGUUUACCUCUGGUUUUUUUUUAAUAUGACAUAUUUGUAUAUUAGAUUAUUUGGUUCCCAAACUUUGUAUCUACGGUAACUUCUUGUGCACAGGAAUAAGCCUAGAGAAAAUUAGGUUUUUAAUACUUUAUUAUUGCUUUGAUAUUGGUUUAUGUAAUUCGGGUAAAUUUAUUUUGUAAUAUUACUUGCUUGUUUCCCAAAUAUUUUACUGUUAUUCGCUUUAUUCCAUUUGUUCGGUUAAUUUAGGUCAUCGUCGGUAUUUAUCUCAACUUCAUUUCUACUUUAGUCAAUUGUAUAUUUAACUUUAUUUAUUCAUUAUUGUAUUUUCCCUUAGUGAGGCUUGGGCCUAUUUAUUUGUAGUAUUUUCAUCUUUGUCAGUUUCAUUUAGUUGUACGUAGCAGGCGUACUAUAACCAUUUGGUAGAAGACUUAUGUAAUUUUGUACCCUAUAUAUAUGUAAGAGGUAUUUAAGUUUAUAACAGAUAACAUUAUUGUUGUUAUCUUUAAAAAAUAUAUAACUUUUUGUAUAACUUAUGUCAUUUUAGAGUCACAUGAUAUACACUUUGUGUAACUCAGAGAUUGUCAAAAAUCUAGUAGUUAUUUUUAAUAAAUAUGUAUUUAUUUUGUAUAUCAAUUAUUUUAUUAUUCCUUUAUGUUCAUUAUUACAGGUUUGAUAUUUAAUAUUUGACAGCAGUAUAAGAUACCUGGGAAAAUGAUCGAAGAUCAUUUUCAUGGCGCCCAUAAUUAGUUAGUUUUAUUUAUUUUGUUCGUUUUUAGUCAUUAUUCAUCUCCAUUCAUUUUCAGUAUAUUAUUCUUAUUUUAUUAUUUCAUCUUCUAGUCAUCAUUACUAUCUAUAUAGAGCUACUGUUCUUCGACAGGCAUGCAAACGAGCCGUAUCCAUCCUUGAGUGUCAAGUUGCUCUCUUGCAUCUAUAGCUAGCCAACUCUAUUCAGU